rnacentral:rRNA from 1 species
AACGAACGCUGGCGGCAUGCCUAACACAUGCAAGUCGAACGGGAUCCGGACUUCGGUCCGGUGAGAGUGGCGGACGGGUGAGUAACACGUGGGAACCUGCCUUUUGGUUCGGGAUAACCGCGGGAAACUGCGGCUAAUACCGAAUAUUCCCUCAGGGGGAAAGAUUUAUCGCUCCAAGAUCGGCCCGCGUAAGAUUAGGUAGUUGGUGGGGUAAUGGCCUACCAAGCCUACGAUCUUUAGCUGGUCUGAGAGGACGACCAGCCACACUGGAACUGAAACACGGUCCAGACUCCUACGGGAGGCAGCAGUGGGGAAUAUUGGACAAUGGGCGAAAGCCUGAUCCAGCCAUGCCGCGUGAAUGAUGAAGGCCUU